rnacentral:rRNA from 1 species
UUGGAGGGCAAGUCUGGUGCCAGCAGCCGCGGUAAUUCCAGCUCCAAUAGCGUAUAUUAAAGUUGUUGCAGUUAAAAAGCUCGUAGUUGAAUUUCGGGAUCAAUAUGCUGGUCGUGCCAUUGGUACGUACUAGUAUUAUUGGUUUCUUCCUUCUGAUGAAUCAUGAUGUCAUUAAGUUGAUGUCAUGGGGAAUCAGGACUGUUACUUUGAAAAAAUUAGAGUGUUUAAAGCAGGCUCGCGCUUGAAUACAUUAGCAUGGAAUAAUGAAAUAGGACGUUUAAUUCUAUUUUGUUGGUUUCUAGGAUUGACGUAAUGAUUAAUAGGGAUAGUUGGGGGCAUUAGUAUUCAAUUGUCAGAGGUGAAAUUCUUGGAUUUAUUGAAGACUAACUACUGCGAAAGCAUUUGCCAAGGAUGUUUUCAUUAAUCAAGAACGAAAGUUAGGGGAUCGAAGACGAUCAGAUACCGUCGUAGUCUUAACCAUAAACUAUGCCGACUAGGGGAUCGGGAUGAUGUU